UCCGAUUGUUCUCAGUCCGACU
rnacentral:miRNA from 1 species